GCAAAAUGCUGAAUGCACAAUAGAAGUGGAAAAUGGAUGGGACAGUGACAUGUCAUCCAUUUUGAUCCUUGUACACCUGUUACCACCAUCACCUCAUGGCCGCAAGAGACCAGGAAAGCUCUCAGCCAGACAAGCCUGUGACCAUCUUGUCAAGUUUGUCAAGACGGGAACUAGCAUCCAGGGGCAUCUCGAUGGCAUCA